rnacentral:rRNA from 1 species
CCCAAGAGAUCGGGAUAACACCUGGAAACAGAUGCUAAUACCGGAUAACAACAGAUGAUGCCUAUCAACUGUUUAAAAGAUGGUUCUGCUAUCACUCUUGGAUGGGACCUGCGGUGCAUUAGCUAGUUGGUAGGGUAACGGCCUACCAAGGCGAUGAUGCAUAGCCGAGUUGAGAGACUGAUCGGCCACAUUGGGACUGAGACACGGCCCAAACUCCUACGGGAGGCAGCAGCG